GAUGAACGCUAGCGGCAGGCCUAACACAUGCAAGUCGAGGGGUAGAAGGAGCUUGCUCCUUUGAGACCGGCGCACGGGUGCGUAACGCGUAUGCAAUCUACCUUGUACAGGGGAAUAGCUCAGAGAAAUUUGGAUUAAUGCCCCAUAGUAUAUAACCUUCGCAUGUUGGUUAUAUUAAAGUUCCAACGGUACAAGAUGAGCAUGCGUCCCAUUAGUUAGUUGGUAAGGUAACGGCUUACCAAGACGAUGAUGGGUAGGGGUCCUGAGAGGGAGAUCCCCCGCGAUGGUACUGGGACACGGAGCAGACUACUACGGGAGGCAGCAGUGAGGAGUAGUAGUAGAUGGUCGCAAGACUGAACCAGCCAUGCCGCGUGCAGGAAGACGGUCCUAUGGAAUGUAGGCUGCUUUUAUGCAGGAAGAAACCCUCCCACGUGUGGGGGCUUGACGGUACUGGAGGAAUGAGGAACGGCUAACUCCGUG
rnacentral:rRNA from 1 species